CAAACUCACUUUUUUGCAGAUAAUGAACAAUUCUUUGAAAAUAAAAAUUUAUAGAAUGAAAGGUUGCAUAUGUGUAAAACAACCUACUUUAUUUAGGUUUAGCUGGCGCUAGCUUAAUGCUAACAGACGAUGCAAAACUCCAUAGACACGCUAAUGCGACUGCAACUUCGUCACUUGUGACCGUUGCCGACAUAAACGUCUGUCUGUAUCCUGCCCACCGGUGGCCAGAAAACACACACACACACCAAAAUAAGCAUCGUGUUAAGCUGCAACGGAUCAACGGCAUUUGGAUUCAUUUUAAUUGGGAAAUUGUUUUUCAUUACAAGCAUGGUCACGGAACAAAUUACAUUUAUAAUUUAAGACACCACUGUACUUUCUGUAAUGCCCUUGCAUAUGGGGAAGCCUGAAGAGUCUGGGUUCUUUUUAGUGUGCACGCGUGUGUGUAUUGUUGCUCAAGUCAUCUUUUUUAGGUUGUGAGUCAUCAUGACAAGGGUUGUUGUCGUGAGGUUGCCAAAGAUGCGGUGACACAUGAAGUCCCCCUGCUGGGCCUUAGCACGCCUCUGGGACAUUGAGCUCUGACGCAACUUCGACUCCCCCCGCGGCCAGCAAGGUAAAUAAACAUGUGUGCGCGCGUGUGUGUGUGUGUCUCUGUCUCCAAACAGUUUCUUAAUACUCCUACAGAUUGAGUGUCAGUCAUCACACACUUAUUGAUUUCUGGACAGAUCGUGAUGGUAAUCGCUUUCAAUGUACGUAUGUCGAAGCAUUAAUAGAGAAGUCACAGUUCAUGUAUUGAUUGACAACGACGAGUAUUGCAUUGAAUGACAGUACAGUCCUAAAUGCUUGCUGUUAACAUUUACUCGUGUGAAAUGUGUCAUUUUGAGGAGACUUUUCAUUACUCGAAUUUAGUACAAAAUGUAAUUGCACAUCUUAACUAGUUUUUUGUUUGUUUAUUGUUGUUGUUGUUUUUUUUUUUUUUUACAGGCUGACGUCAUGUUCUACAGAGCCCCGAAGUUAACAUGGAAGCGUUUAUGUACUUCGCUGUAAAAUAAAACCAACAAAGAUGGAAUUUUUUCACCUGUGGGUGACUUUAAUUGAAUUUGACUUGAAAUACAAAGACAUAAAAUCUUGAUAUUAAUCACGGUUUCCAAAAAAGUCAAAAAUAUCUGAAGCGUACCAACGUCUCUUAAACACGCUAAUGGCUACCGUUGCCAAAUUGAACCGGAAGUACAUAAAAGCGCAUUUAAAAAAAGCAUAGCCUUGCACACAACUUUGCCAUAUCUUAGAAUUUUUGCGAUUGAAGACGUUUUUUUUUGUUGUUGUUUGUUUUACAUCGUUUUGGGGGGUUCUUUGGGUGUGGGAGGGUGAUAUGAUGGUUCCAUAUUUUCAUAGCAAACAGUGAUAUUUGUAAGGUGCAAUGAAGUAUUUUGUCAUAUAAUCUAACGUUUCGGUGACUUUAUUUGGUAUUUAAAGUCUCAAGUAGAAUAGCUUGUGGAUUUGGGUGAACUAGUUUUCAGGCUAAUAAAAUAGUUUGCUUUUGAACGUCGUGUUUCUAUAGUUUUGUUGGGUUCUAAAUUGUUGCCAAAUGUCUUUUUACAUUGAACUGAAGUGUUGCCGACAGUGUUUUUAGGCAAAUGGAUCAAGUGUUUUGUGAGUAACUGUACUGUCCUUGUUAAAAAUGGUGGUUUUAAUGCUUAAGUGUAAGGUUUAAUGCUUUGUUCAGUGUGGCUUUCUUAUGUGUCUUGUGGUUAAGUGUUGUGAUUUUACAAUUGAUACUGUGUUUUGUUUAAUGUAGUAUUUUUGCAUGGUCAAUAUGGUGAUUUCCUGUCAAAUGUACUAUUUUGUAUUGUUAAUAUACUGAUGUUCCAUUUAAAUGUAAUAUUUUGGUCUCAAAAAUUGUUGCAUUGAGUGAUUUCCUGGUUUGAUUUAGUGAUAUGGUUUAUUUAGUGUUUGACUUGGAUGCCGUUUGUGGUUAAUAUACUGUAGUAUUGUUGAGGUUAAAUGUGUUUGAAUUUC